CUCAGAGAAAAUUCCUGGAAGAAAUAGGGCUGACUGAGCCUGUUUCCCUUGGCAGGGGCAGAAUAGGCCCUCCCCAGUGGAAUACAACUACGGUUGGAGCUGUGUAUCCACGGCAGGCAGUUUCAGUCCUUCCCUGAACUCAGUAGUUCACACUGCACUGCUCUUCCUAGCCCUUAUGUGUGACCUUCGCAGUGUAAAAAAAUGCCCCUGGACAGCCUUUGAAGGGAAAGGCAGAGAAAUCUGUUUUGAUGGGUUGAAAAUAAGUGGAAAGGUUUUUAGGGAAAUAACAAGCUUCCAAAGAUUUCAGAUGUACCAGUGUUCAUUCAGGCAUGGGAUUAGGCCAAGAGAGGAGCCUCCUAGUGACUGGGAGGAAAGGACCGUGUAAGGAGAUCUGGGAGACCACCCUGGAAGAGUUAUUGGACUAUAAUGCAGCCCCUCAAGGGCUGGGGAUGUAGCUUAGUGGUAGAGCACGUGCUUAGCAUAUGCAAGUCUGUAGGUUCGUCCCCAGCACCAUCAAGAAUGAAUAAACUGUAAGCCAGCCCUGUAGACAUGCCGUUAAAGUGUCUGCUGAGCUGAAUUAGAGGAGGUUUGGAGGUGUGGAGUUGUGGUGGAAGCAGGCUCUGGAAAGCAGAACCAGAAACUGGCUUCUUCUCCCUGAGUCAUCUGGCCCAGGCUCCUGCCUCCAAGCACACCCUGCCGGCAGUGUCUCUAUCUGGCCAACUGCUUUCUCAGCUCUCCAGGGAUGGAGAUUCCACAGCCUCUCUCUGUUGUCUGUUCCAGAGCCACUCCCCUUAGUUCUUAGAAGUUCUUGCUUUCAAAGAAUGGGAGUGUCGAGAAACAGAAAGGAGACAAGAGGAGCAGAACAAAUUAGGGCAAAGGACCCCAGCAGGAAGAGGAGUUGCUGAAGGUGGGGAACAGCAUCCACAUUUCACACUUCCUUCUCUGACUUCAAUCAGUGUAAGCAAUUGGCCCCCAGACAUGUGUGGACGGAGGAAGGUAGAACCAGCCAUCUGGGGACCCUGUCCUCCCACAUCCCCUGACUGGCACAGGGGAGUCCAUUCUGCUCUGAGAAAGCAGUGUGCAUCCAGACAUCCAGAACUGCCCUGGAGGAGCUGUGUUUUAUUCAAAAGCCUGUAACUUUAGCAAUCUCCCCUUCAAAGGAAUGUUCUGUAAUUGAAGGCAUGCUCCAUACCCACUCUAUUGUGUUUCAUGCACUCUGCCAAAAUAAUUACUUUUCACACCAACUCUUGGAUAUAGAUAAACCUUGGGUAGUCCAAGGAGGAUAGAGCCAAGGAAAGUUAUCACCUCUUGCUCCAUGAGACUUUUCCAUCAGCUUCCAGCCUCUCAGUCACAUACCCAGAAGCAAGCCAAAAAAUCCACCCACCCCAAAACAUACCCCAAAGCCCAGGCUCCUUGUUCCUGCUCGGUACUCAAGCCAUAGGGUAUCUGACCUAUCUUACACCACUAGUUAUCUGGCUGUCACAGCUCCACAGAACAUCACAGUAGGAGCAGCAAGGUGGGCAGGACUGGGUGGCAGGUGGGAGGAAGAAUAGGAGGGGUGGCUGCAGAAACAGAGCAGGGAUGGCAGCUGGCAGGGAGCCUGCCUCAGGCCUGCCAUUGCCACUCCUCACUGAGGGCCUAGCAUGCCCAAAGGGUUCCCCCACCCACCUGCCCCCUAUUCCAUACCACCUUAGUCCUCCCUUGAGCCUUGACUCCCUUUCCAAGCUGGCUUCCCACUCCCAUUUCCUUCGGGUGGCCUCAAGCUGCACUGAGGUUCAGACUGCCUCCCAGCUUAGAGGAAGAGUCCUUUCCUGUCAGAAUCCAGGUCUGUGCUGGUGAUGGCUUUUGGCUGAGGUGAUCGCAGUGGAGCUCUGAGCGCCACUGUGAAAUUGUACUCCAGCCAGCUGCAAUAGACUCCCUGCCUCUGGGAAUCUAAGAAAGGAGAAGCCCAGGACUUUCCCAGAGGAUGGGGGCCAGCUCUUGAGAUUCCUCUUAGCACCAGGACCUGAUUUUAACAUGGCCACACCAAGAUACAGGUUCUCUGCAGGUGCCUUGAAGGCAAGGGCUUCUGCCCCUCUUGUGUCAGCCCUGUUCCCAGGUGGACUUUCCUCUCCCAGCAGAGAUGGUGCAGUAAGAAUGGGUGAGGGGCAGCUCCAACCCUGCCCCACAGACACUUGAUGGGGCGGGGGGGUGUACAGGAUCUUGGGUGGGUGACAAAUUGCCCUUGCAACACGUCACACUUCUGAAGUGUCCUGUGCAUUUUUAAUAAUUCUUAACCAUGAAAAACUUGUACUACACUUUAAUAAAAAAUUUUUGUUUGCAUUUUACUUUUGUAGUAUUUGGGGUUUUAUAGAUUUUUUUAAUUUUAUGGCCAAGUAUACUUUUGUAAGGAAAUGUUGAAGUCUUGAGUAUUUUUAUCCUUUUAGAAAAC
ensembl:lncRNA